rnacentral:rRNA from 1 species
GAUGAACGCUAGCGGGAGGCUUAACACAUGCAAGUCGAGGGGCAGCAUAGGGUAGCAAUACUCUGAUGGCGACCGGCAAACGGGUGAGUAACGCGUAUGCAACCUACCCUGUACAGGGGGAUAACCCGGAGAAAUUCGGACUAAUAUCCCGUAAUAAUAUCCGGAGGCAUCUUUGGAUAUUUAAAGUUCCGACGGUACGGGAUGGGCAUGCGUAACAUUAGCUGGUUGGUAAGGUAACGGCUUACCAAGGCUAUGAUGUUUAGGGGUCCUGAGAGGGUGGUCCCCCAACUGGUACUGAGACACGGACCAGACUCCUACGGGAGGCAGCAGUGAGGAAUAUUGGUCAAUGGGCGCAAGCCUGAACCAGCCAUCCCCGGUGCAGGAAGACGGCCCUAUGGGUUGUAAACUGCUUUUCCAGGGAGAGAAACUUACGCACGUGUUGCGUGACUGACGGUACCCUGGGAAUAAGCAUCGGCUAACUCCGUGCCAGCAGCCGCGGUAAGCACGAGAGUAC